UGGGGAAUCUUGCGCAAUGCGCGAAAGCGUGACGCAGCAACACCGCGUGAGGGAAGACGGCCUUCGGGUUGUAAACCUCUUUCAGGAGGGACGAAGGUCGGCCGGUGAAUAGCCGUGUCGUCUGACGGUACCUCCAGAAGAAGCUCCGGCUAACUACGUGCCAGCAGCCGCGGUAAUACGUAGGGAGCAAGCGUUGUCCGGAAUCAUUGGGCGUAAAGCGCGCGUAGGCGGCCCGAUAAGUCUGCUGUGAAAGUCAACGGCUCAACCGUUGGAUGCCGGUGGAUACUGUCGGGCUAGAGUACGGAAGAGGCAAGUGGAAUUCCUGGUGUAGCGGUGGAAUGCGCAGAUAUCAGGAGGAACACCUAUAGCGAAGGCAGCUUGCUGGGACGUUACUGACGCUAAGGCGCGAAAGCGUGGGGAGCGAACAG
rnacentral:rRNA from 1 species